UGAUUGCUCAGUGGUUAGAGCGCUGGCCUGCAGACCGAAGAGUCUCGGGUUCAAUUCCCGGUCA
rnacentral:tRNA from 1 species